UUAAAAUGGAGCGAUGUACUGGGGGUGCCUUAAAGUGGUAUGCUAGUACAGUGCAUUGGAACGAAGCCUUUGAUGACAAAGUACCACAACUCUCUCUUUCGCCUUCCUUCUAAUUUUUUUCUUUGGAAAGUUGUGUAACAGUCUGACCGUGAAGGAUUGAGUCCACUACUGAAGUAGUCCUCCCAGGUUUUGACCCUUGCCUGUUUUCUGGACUCCAUUCCCGCCUGCCUGACUAUUCUGCCUGCCUGCCCUUCGGUACUUACUGGACUCAAAACUGGUUUGGACUUUUUGCCUGUACACGACCAUUCUCCUGCCUACCCCCUUUUCUGGAUGAAUAAACAUCUAAGACUCCAA